GGAAAAUAUAAUUACAGAUUGCUUUCGUUUUGCAAGCAAAAUUAACAUUAAACAUUGAACUGUAUUUAAUAAGCAAUGAAACAUGUUAAAAUAUAUAUAAUAUACCAUAUACAAUUUGUAUUGCAUUUAUCUUCUUUGGUUCAUUAUUCAUUGUUUAGUUGAACCUAUUUGUAUAGCUGAUUAAUACACCAUGCCAACUUUCGUUAAUUUAAAUGAAACAGUUUUCUUAACAAGUAUGAUUAUUUAAUUUUAAGUAUAAUAUAUCACUAAUAUGUUGCAUAAUAAAAUUCUUUGCCUAAAUAUCAUCUGAAGAAAGUUCACCUGACUUCACUGUAGUGUUUAAAUUAUCAAAAGAAGUGAUAAAACCUUGAAGAUAUAGAGAAUAAACCUGUUACAUAAGGUUUUGACUGUAUUGCAUGCAAUAUUUACCUUAAAAACAAUUUGUGAGUACCAAAAGCAAAACUGUCUUAUAAUUGGCAGCCUUAUUACAUUAAUGAAAUGUUUUACAACUUUUUGCAUUACAUUUUUCUGAAAACCAGAAACCAAAGUUUUAGUCAUAAGACAAACUU
rnacentral:lncRNA from 1 species